GAUAUGGCUCAGGAUGAACGCUAUCUACAUGCUUAACACAUGCAAGUCGAGGGGCAGCAUGACCUAGCAAUAGGUUGAUGGCGACCGGCGCACGGGUGAGUAACACGUAUCCAACCUACCGGUUAUUCCGGGGUAGCCUUUCGAAAGAAAGAUUAAUACCGGAUAGUAUAACGAGAAGGCAUCUUCUUGUUAUUAAAGAAUUUCGAUAACCGAUGGGGAUGCGUUCCAUUAGUUUGUUGGCGGGGUAACGGCCCACCAAG
rnacentral:rRNA from 1 species